rnacentral:rRNA from 1 species
UGGGUAGCGGGGAAAUUCCGAUCGGAAUUGGAGAUAGAUGAGUCUGACCGAAAUAGCUUUAGUGCAAGCGGCGAGGUAAAGAGUCAUGGAGGUAGAGCACUGUUUGGAGUAGGGGAGCUUCACGGGUUACCGAAUUCAAGUAAACUCCGAAUGCCAUGUACUUAUACGCGGGAGGGAGACUGCGAGUGAUAAGAUCCGUAGUCGAAAGUGAAACAGCCCAGACCACCAGUUAAGGUCCCCAAAGAUAUGUUAAGUGGAAAAGGAUGUGGGGUUGCUUAGACAACCAGGAUGUUGGCUUAGAAGCAGCCAACAUUGAAAGAGUGCGUAAUAGCUCACUGGUCGAGUGACCCGGCGCCGAAAAUGUGCCGGAGCUAAACAUAUUACCGAAACUGUGGCUGAACCUCUUUAGAGGUUCGUGGUAGGAGAGCGUUCUAAGUGCGGUGAAGUCAGACCGGAAGGACUGGUGGAGCGCUUAGAAGUGAGACGGCCGGUAUGAGUAGCGAAAGCAGGGUGAGAAUCCCUUCCACCGAAUAGCUAAGGUUUCCUGAGGAAGGCUAGUCCGCUCAGGGUUA